CGCACAUACUACGUAGGAAGCCAAAAACAUGUUAAAAGGAAACCCAGAUUGUAUGCAAGAUCGCCAAGCAUUUUUAUUUUCCUUUUUAACAUUCUCAUAAUUCCUAGUUAUUCACCAUUUUCAAAAAAAGUUUCGAGUUUCCAGGACAAAAAACAAAAAAAAAAAGAUGGGGGAAGAAAGGGCUACAGUGUUACAGUCGGAGUCUUUGCUUGUUAGAGAAGGAGCUGGUGAGAAUAGUUCAAGUGUCACCACUACACUCGUUCUUAGCACCUUUGUGGCAGCUAGCAUUUCCUUUGGUGUUGGUUAUAUUGCUGGAUAUACAUCACCUACUCAGUCUGUAAUCAUGGAGGACCUGGGUCUUUCUAUUGCAGAGUUUUCACUUUUUGGUUCACUGUUAAAUCUUGGAUCAAUUCUAGGGGCAUUAGUAAGUGGGAAGACUGUAGAUCUCCUCGGUCGUAAAGGCACCAUGUGGGUUUUGUACAUAUUCUACAUAGUGGGAUGGCUUGCAAUAGCAUUUGCAAAGGUUCCUUGGUUGCUUGAUGUAGGAAGAUUAUUGCUGGGAUUCAGCAAUGGAAUUGCUGGUUAUUUGUUGCCAGUAUAUCUUGCUGAGAUAACACCGAAAAACCUUAGGGGAAGAUUUACUGCUGGAGUACAGAUGAUGGCUAUCUUAGGCCUUUCAACGAUGUAUAUAGUUGGUCCUUUCAUCAAUUGGCGCAUCUUGGCUCUAAUCGGUAUAAUUCCGAGUCUUGUACAACUCCCUCUUCUAAUCUACAUUCCAGAGUCUCCUAGAUGGCUGGUAAAUGUUGGUCGAGAAGAGGAGUUUGAAACUGUGCUGCGGUCCCUCAGGGGAAAGAAAGCCAAUGUUUUUGAGGAAGCAGCUUCUAUAAAAGACUAUACGGAUUCGCUCAAACGAUUGUCAGGGGGAGGAAUGUUGGAUUUGUUUCAGCCAAAAUAUUAUCAUUCCCUAAUUAUUGGAAUUGGGCUGAAGGUACUUCAACACUCAGGUGGGAGCAAUGCAUAUACAUAUUACUCGGGAGUUAUUUUUACCUCUGUAGGCUUAUCGAAAUAUGUCGGGCUUAGUACGUUGGCUGUUAUCCAGAUGAUAACGGCCAUUGUUGGUGCAAGUUUAAUCGAUAAGUUCGGAAGACGAGCACUUCUCCUGGUAUCUUCAGCUGGAUUAUGCUUUGGCAGCUUCCUUACUGGGAUAUCAUUCCUUUUACAGGGUCAUCACUUGUGGAGUGAAGAAGCUCGAAUUUUGGCACUGAUUAGCAUUUGGGUGUAUAUGGGCUCAUACCAAGCAGGGAUGGAAGGAAUUCCAUGGGUUAUAGUGGCAGAGAUUUUUCCCAUAAACGUAAAAGGUGCAGCUGGGAGCUUAGCCGGUUUGACUGGGAAUAUUUGUUCUUGGACUGUUUCAUACAACUUUAACUUCUUAUUCCAAUGGAGCUCAGCAGGGACAUUCUUCAUAUAUUCAGCAAUUUGUGGUGUUUGUGUCAUAUUUAUUGCAAAGAUGGUACCGGAGACAAAGGGUCGUACACUCGAAGAAAUACAAGCAUCACUUACUACUUCUCCGUAGUGAGAACAAAGUGACCAAAAUAGAAUGGGGGAAGAAAGAGCUACAGAGUUGCAGUCCGAGUUUUUGCUUGUUAGAGAAGGACAUGGUGAUGAGCAGCAGAAUAGUUCAAAAAUAACAACUACUCUUGUUCUUAGCACCUUUGUGGUAGCUUGCAUUUCCUUUGGUUUUGGAUGUAUUGGGUAACGCGCAAUGCUUACUAAAAGACUCCGGGAUGAUCAUUUUUCUUACUUGUGUGGGUAUAAAGAGAAGCCAACUUGAAAUUUCAAACAACUCUAUGUGCUGUGCAGUUUUCACCUUUUGGUUCACUCUUAAAUCACCAUUCCUUGGUCGUAUAAGCUAUUAGAGUUGUGUGACUCAAAUCCCUCUUAAAUAAAACAAGAGAUUAUUUGCAAGUCAA